GCUUCCUUGGCUCAGUUGGCUAGAGCGCAGGUCUCAUACUUUCUGUGUGAGCGGUUAUUACCGUGUAAUCCUGAGGUCGCAAGUUCGAGCCUUGCAGGGAGCA
rnacentral:tRNA from 1 species